rnacentral:rRNA from 1 species
AUGAAUCUCAUAAGUUGGAACUGCCGGGGGGGGAAUUCCCGGACAGUUCGUGAAAUUGCGACUUUGUCUCAGUCGCAUUCCCCCAAGUUCGUGUUUUUAUGUGAGACAAGGCAAAAGGAGAGUAAAAUGAGGAGGCUGCGUGGUCGGUUGGGCUUGAAGGGUUUCGAAGGAGUUGAUAGCAAUGGAAUGAGUGGGGGGGUAGCCUUUUAUUAG